GCUGUGCUUAAAUUCCUGUUAAAUCAAAGCACAACCUCAUCCUCCGGAGAUCCCAAGAGCUAAACAGUUUUGUAAUGACUCUAUUUUGUUUCUUUCUCCAUGCAGUGUUUCUCACCUCGGAGGUGAUGCUGUAGAGACAUCUGGCAGCACUGCAAAGUCCAUCCUGUCCUUGUGCUCCUAAAAUAUCACUGGUCCAUCCCCAAACAGAGGGGCCAGUUGCAGAGAAGGCUGCCAGCAUAACUCACCACGUAACUACAUAACUAUAGCCUUUUGUGCCACUGCUUUGAGGAGAAGGGGAUUUUUAGCUUCCCAUAAGCCUUUCUUAAGGUACUGCUUAACUGCAAGGAAAGAAAAGUGCUCCCUCAUGCUGAUAGUAAACACUGGAGAUGGUGUGUUAAUCCUGAGAAAUCAAUGUUCCUGAUUUAGGUGGGCAUUGCUUUCCAUGCCCCAGCAUCCUUAUGUGUAUCCUCACCAAAGGUGCUGGGUACAGCUCUGUAUCCCGCUCCUGUGUGCCUGCAGGGUGUUGCUCAGUUUAUAGCAGUGUAACUGUAUCAUUUCAGGUUGUGCCUCAGGCAGAGAGCUGUAGUCAUGGGAUGCUGUACCUGGUUUGGAGGUUGGAGUUAGCAGAACCAGCACUGGGGCUUGGGAAGGGUUGCACGAGGCCUUCCCUGGGAUUCAGCACUACUUGUGUGGAGUGCUGCUGACUUUAGAUACUACCCUUUCAUGAGUUCACUGAGCAGAAAAGCCAUUUCAAGUUCCAAAGAAGCAAGAAAUAACUCAGCUGUGAGCAAUAUUUAAGCACGUGGCGGUGGCUGUGCUGCCAAAGCCACCUCUUAAACUGCUUCAGAGAGUUUCUUCAUCAGAAGAGUUCAGCUGGUACUUCAACAAGUGGGGCUCAGCCCCUGUGAUGAGGAGUCCCAGGAGAGUGAAGCCGUUGAGCUGGGCAGUGCAAACACAGCUGGAGGGCAAUGCCUGAUCCAUGGAGUGCAUGUCUCAGCCCUGCUGAAGGUCUGGUAAUAGAUCUGAGACCACACCACCUGGAUGCAG